rnacentral:rRNA from 1 species
UACGUAGGUGGCAAGCGUUGUCCGGAUUUACUGGGCGUAAAGGGCGCGUAGGCGGCAAUUCAAGUCAUCUGUGAAAUCUCCGGGCUUAACUCGGAACGGUCAGAUGAUACUGCUUUGCUAGAGUGCGGAAGGGGCAAUCGGAAUUCUCGGUGUAGCGGUGAAAUGCGUAGAUAUCGAGAGGAACACCUGAGGUGAAGACGGGUUGCUGGGCCGACACUGACGCUGAGUGCGCGAAAGCCAGGGGAGCAAACGGG